AGAACAGUAGAAAACCCCAGGCAGAGCUGAAGACAGUGACAGAAGGGAUUAUUGCUUCUGAAGAAGAAAAAAAAUGAUUACAAAAUCACCUAUUUUACCGUCUUUUACAACUUCGUUGUAGGAGGUGUGAAAGAGGAGGGAAAUUGUGUUGUUUGAUGGAGAGACUCAAAUUAACAAAGAACUGUGGAAUAUUUCUAGCCAAAAGCCACUGGGGAACUGAUUCCUGCCAACAACCACUGAACUUCGAAGUAGAUCCAUCAGCAACUGGACCCUCAGAUGCGACCCAUGUAUGACACCUUGAUUGGGAUCCUGUGAGAGACCCUCAGGCAGAGCACCUAGUUAAGUCAAACUCAGAUCGCUGACUCCCAGAAACUGUAAGCACUCUCCUGCAUACCUGUCACCAAACCUCCAGGUCAAUCUCACAUUUACUCUUGAAGAAAUGGAGUCGAAGAUGAAAUAGAAAAUAAUUAGAUAAUGAAAUGCUAAUAUAGGAAUUGAAUGUCAGCUGCAGUGCUCAGAAGCAUAAGAUUGUGAUAAAUGUUUUGGAGGAAAAUAGAAAGAAGGCUGUGGUUUGAAACGUCUCAACAAACUUCCAAUCAUGCAAAACUUGAGGGAACGAGGAACAGCAAAGCUUGGCACUUUGGAAGCUUGAUAACAUCACAGCAUGGAAGAAAAGUGGAAGGAAGAAAAAGAAAGAAAGAAAGAAGGAAGGAAGGAAG
rnacentral:lncRNA from 1 species